rnacentral:tRNA from 1 species
GGUUACGGCUCAGCGGUAGAGCGCUCGCCUUGCAUGUGCAAGGCCCUGGGUUCCAUCCUCAGCACCA